UGGGGAGUGGGGUAAUUGGCAGCCCGGAAGACUUUGGCUCUUCAAGUUCUGGUUCGAGUCCAGGCUCCCCAG
rnacentral:tRNA from 1 species